CAAGGCCAGAAUGAAGAGAAGCUGCGAGUCAGUAUGGAACUCAGAGGUCCCCGAGUGGAUAUCCACGUGGAAAGGAUGUUGGCAGCCCGGGUGACCUCGGAGUCACGGCUGGAUCCACCCUCCCGCCUGAUUUUCUUAACUCCACCCUGCUGAGAAGAUGCCCUCCAGGAGGCUGUGCUUGCAGACUCCACGGAGCCUCUCUCAAGAUUUCCUGAACCUUGUGGAUUUACAGUAAGACGAAGUUC
rnacentral:lncRNA from 1 species